UACGUAGGGUGCGAGCGUUAAUCGGAAUUACUGGGCGUAAAGCGUGCGCAGGCGGCUUUGCAAGACAGAUGUGAGAUCCCCGGGCUCAACCUGGGAACUGCAUUUGUGACUGCAAGGCUAGAGUACGGCAGAGGGGGAUGGAAUUCCGCGUGUAGCAGUGAAAUGCGUAGAUAUGCGGAGGAACACCAAUGGCGAAGGCAAUCCCCUGGGCCUGUACUGACGCUCAUGCACGAAAGCAUGGGGAGCAAACAGG
rnacentral:rRNA from 1 species